UCCUUGUCAAGCCUUUACGAGUAUCCCACUGAUGCAUCUUUUGGUUCGAGCGAGUUGACAAGAACCUGCUCUAUUCCGCGAGGGAUCCAUUUUCUGACAUGUUACGGUCUAAACCAGUGACCGAAUCAUAAUCCAGAUGUUUGUGUGUUUCUCCACUGUCAAAUCCAAACGAGGGAAAUAUUUUUCUCAACUCCAAUUCAUUUACUUAGAAGAAAAAAAUAAUUUUAUUAUUAACAUUUAACAACCUUUCAAGCCCAAAUAGAAGCUACGUUGCUUAAUUUAAAUUUUUUUUUCUGUUUAAACGCCCCACAGAAAAGCUCACAGGCUACCGCGCAAGCUAGCAUUGUUGUCUAUGAAUGAUCUUACUUUUCCAGCUGCUCCUCCAAAUAUCGUAUUUGUGUUAGGAACAACUUGUCCCCGUCCAAAAGCUCGGUGAUUUCGGCCGCCAUGGUUAAUAGUUUAUUGAUUUUUUUUUAUUUAUUUGAUUAACUGUCUUAAAAAUUGAUUGUUGUCUGAAAUGAAAACUCAGGAUGUGACAAGCAGGUAGGGGAGCUGAGCGGUGCUGCCUUUUGGCACCUCUCGAAAAACCUCAACUUUGACCAGACAUUCGGCUCGUACGCAUGUUUAAAUCCAAUUCAAAUGCCGGUCCCCCCACCACCACCAAGACCCCCGCGUCGGACCGGAACGUCGCGUCACUGCUUUGAACAAGAGACGAGACGUCACAGGCAGAGUUCUCCUUUGUCAACGUGGUUUGUUUGCACUGGUUCUAACGGCCACUAGAUGGCGUUCUCGCUCUUCUCGAUGGCUUUGUAAGGGCUUGUUUGAGACCGGAAGUUCCUGAUUGCGGAGGAGCCGAGAUAAGGGCGGAAAGUUGGAAACUUGGCGAAUCAAGAGCGGCUCUUCUUACGAAGCUCCGAUUUUCAAGAUGGCCUGCAGAAAAGCCCCCCCUGCCGCUGACCACAGCGUGACCAUCAGGAAGUACGUGACGUUCCUUUGAUGUCUCAAAUUUGACGCCGUCACCUCAUUAGCUCCCGCGCGAAUGGCGAGCACUCAAACGGGGGGGCCCCCCGUCGGAAGCCGAGGAUACUGUUUAAUGCCUCCACGCGCGCAACCGCAGGUCCUGGCAUCUGCUUCUUAUUAAGACGCACACAUGCUCUUAGUUUG